rnacentral:rRNA from 1 species
GACGAACGCUGGCGGCGUGCCUAAUACAUGCAAGUAGAACGCUGAAGGAGGAGCUUGCUUCUCUGGAUGAGUUGCGAACGGGUGAGUAACGCGUAGGUAACCUGCCUGGUAGCGGGGGAUAACUAUUGGAAACGAUAGCUAAUACCGCAUAAUAGUAGAUGUUGCAUGACAUUUGCUUAAAAGGUGCAAUUGCAUCACUACCAGAUGGACCUGCGUUGUAUUAGCUAGUUGGUGAGGUAACGGCUCACCAAGGCAACGAUACAUAGCCGACCUGAGAGGGGGAUCGGCCACACUGGGACUGAGACACGGCCCAGACUCCUACGGGAGGCAGCAGUAGGGAAUCUUCGGCAAUGGACGGAAGUCUGACCGAGCAACGCCGCGUGAGUGAAGAAGGUUUUCGGAUCGUAAAGCUCGGUUGUAAGAGAAGAACGAGUGUGAGAGUGGAAAGUUCACACUGUGACGGUAUCUUACCAGAAAGGGACGGCUAACUACGUG